GCCAGCAUGGCAUAGUGGUUUGAGUGCUGGACUUUGACUCUGGAGACUAGGGAUCAAUUUCCAGGUUGGACA